AACGAACGCUGGCGGCAUGCCUAACACAUGCAAGUCGAACGAGACCUUCGGGGCUAGUGGCGCACGGGUGCGUAACGCGUGGGAACCUGCCCUUAGGUUCGGAAUAACUCCCCGAAAGGGGUGCUAAUACCGGAUAAUGUCUUCGGACCAAAGAUUUAUCGCCUUUGGAUGGGCCGGCGUUGGAUUAGCUAGUUGGUAGGGUAAAAGCCUACCAAGGCGACGAUCCAUAGCUGGUCUGAGAGGAUGAUCAGCCACACUGGGACUGAGACACGGCCCAGACUCCUACGGGAGGCAGCAGUGGGGAAUAUUGGAAAAUGGGGGAAAGCCUGAUCCAGCAAGGCCGCGUGAGUGAUGAAGGCCUUAGGGUUGUAAAGCGCUUUUACCCGGGAUGAUAAUGACAGUACCGGGAGAAUAAGCCCCGGCUAACUCCGUG
rnacentral:rRNA from 1 species